rnacentral:rRNA from 1 species
CCUACGGGAGGCUGCAGUCGAGAAUCAUUCACAAUGGGGGAAACCCUGAUGGUGCGACGCCGCGUGGGGGAAUGAAGGUCUUCGGAUUGUAAACCCCUGUCUUGUGGGAGCAAAUUAAAAAGAUAGUACCACAAGAGGAAGAGACGGCUAACGCUGUGCCAGCGGCCGCGGUAAUACAGAGGUCUCAAGUGUUGUUCGCAAUCACGGGGCGAAAGGCGUGCGUAGGCUGUUUCGUAAGUCGUGUGUGAACGGAGCGGGCCCAACCCGCGGCCGGAACAUGAUACUGCGAGACUAGAGUAAUGGAGGGGGAACCGGAAUUCUAGGUGUAGGAGUGAAAGGCGUAGAUAUCGAGGGGAACACUGGUGGCGAGGGCGGGUCCUGGACAUUAACUGACGCUGAGGCACGAAGGCCAGGGGAGCGAAAGGGAUUAGAUACCCUGGUAGUC